UACAGAGGUCUCAAGCGUUGUUCGGAUUCAUUGGGCGUAAAGGGUGCGUAGGUGGUUUAGUAAGUUAGCUGUGAAAUUCCUGGGCUCAACCUAGGGUGGUCAGCUAAGACUGCUAGACUCGAGUAUGGGAGAGGGUAGUGGAAUUUCCGGUGUAGCGGUGAAAUGCGUAGAGAUCGGAAGGAACACCAGUGGCGAAGGCGGCUACCUGGCCUAAUACUGACACUGAGGCACGAAAGCGUGGGGAGCAAACAGG
rnacentral:rRNA from 1 species